rnacentral:piRNA from 1 species
UGUCCAAACGUGCGCACCAGGACCGAGGGGA